UGGGGAAUCUUGGACAAUGGGCGAAAGCCUGAUCCAGCAAUGCCGCGUGUGUGAAGAAGGCCUUCGGGUUGUAAAGCACUUUCAGUGGGGAGGAUGUUAACCUUUUUUAAUAAAGAAGGUUGAUGACGUUACCCACAGAAGAAGCACCGGCUAACUCUGUGCCAGCAGCCGCGGUAAUACAGAGGGUGCAAGCGUUAAUCGGAAUUACUGGGCGUAAAGGGUGAGCAGGUGGUAAAUUAAGUUAUGUGUGAAAUCUUUGAGCUUAACUUAAAAACUGCACAUAAUACUGAAUUACUAGAGUACUGUAGAGGAUAGUGGAAUUUCCGGUGUAGCGGUAAAAUGCGUAGAUAUCGGGAGGAACACCAGUGGCGAAGGCGACUAUCUGGACAGAUACUGACACUAAUACACGAAAGCGUGGGGAGCAAACA
rnacentral:rRNA from 1 species